rnacentral:rRNA from 1 species
CCUACGGGAGGCUGCAGUGGGGAAUAUUGCACAAUGGGCGCAAGCCUGAUGCAGCCAUGCCGCGUGUGUGAAGAAGGCCUUCGGGUUGUAAAGCACUUUCAGCGAGGAGGAAGGUGGUGAGCUUAAUACGCUCAUCAAUUGACGUUACUCGCAGAAGAAGCACCGGCUAACUCCGUGCCAGCAGCCGCGGUAAUACGGAGGGUGCAAGCGUUAAUCGGAAUUACUGGGCGUAAAGCGCACGCAGGCGGUUUGUUAAGUCAGAUGUGAAAUCCCCGGGCUCAACCUGGGAACUGCAUUUGAAACUGGCAAGCUAGAGUCUCGUAGAGGGGGGUAGAAUUCCAGGUGUAGCGGUGAAAUGCGUAGAGAUCUGGAGGAAUACCGGUGGCGAAGGCGGCCCCCUGGACGAAGACUGACGCUCAGGUGCGAAAGCGUGGGGAGCAAACAGGAUUAGAUACCCUUGUAGUC